rnacentral:rRNA from 1 species
GCGAGGUAGAGCAAAUCUCAAAAAAACAAUCUCAGUUCAGACUGCAGGCUGCAACUCGCCUGCACGAAGUCGGAAUUGCUAGUAAUCGUAGGUCAGCAUACUACGGUGAAUACGUUCCCGGGCCUUGUACACACCGCCCGUCAAACCAUGAGAGUUGGCAACACCCGAAGUCGGUAGUCUAACCGCAAGGAGGACGCCGCCGAAGGUGGGGUUGAUGAUUAGGGUUAAGUCGUAACAAGGUAAC